AUGAAGUUCAUGAAGCUUGGAUCGAACCCGGACACCUUUCAGGACGAUGGGAGCGAAGUCAGAAUUGUGGAAACUGAAUUGGUGAGUGAUAUCACUGUUCGUCUAGGGAACACAAAGUUUUACCUUCACAAGUUUCCACUUCUAUCCAAGUGUGCUCGCUUUCAGAAGUUGAUCCCAACUACUGGUGAUGAAAAUAUUGAUAUCCACAUCCAUGACAUUCCUGGUGGCCCAAAGGCUUUUGAGAUAUGUGCCAAGUUCUGCUAUGGCAUGGUUGUCACACUCAAUGCGUACAAUGUCGUUGCUGCCCGCUGCGCUGCGGAGUACUUGGAGAUGAAUGAAACUGUCGACAAGGGUAAUCUGAUCUACAAGAUUGAUGUCUUCCUCAGCUCAAGCAUAUUCAGGAGUUGGAAAGAUUCCAUUAUUGUCCUUGGGACAACAAAGGCUCAUUUACCAUGGUCAGAGGAUCUUAAGCUGGUUAGCCACUGCAUUGAUUCCAUUGCUUCAAAAGCCUCUGUUGACACCUCCAAGGUUGAAUGGUCAUACACGUACAAUCGCAAGAAGCUCUCAACUGAGAAUGACCUUGAUAUGCAAUGGAAUGGAGUCAAGAAGCAGCCGUCUGUGCCAAAGGAUUGGUGGGUCGAGGAUCUCACAGAUCUCGACAUCGAUUCCUACAAGCAAGUCAUAUCAGCAAUCAAAACAAUGGGUAUGGUGCCCAAGGAUGCUGUUGGUGAGGCAAUCAAAGCCUACACAUACAAGAAGCUCCCCUCACUAAGCAAGGUUUCAAUGAUCCAUGGUGAUGGAAAGGUCCGAGCGAUGCUAGUUACCAUCACAUGCUUGUUACCAUCAGAGAAAGGCUCAGUCUCAUGCAGCUUCCUGCUAAAGCUACUGAGGGCAACCAAUCUGCUUAAAUGUGGAGAGAUGUGCAGGAAAGAGCUUGUGAAGAGAAUUGGACGGCAGCUGGAUGAAGCAUCCGUGUCAGAUCUUCUUAUUCCUACGGUCGAUGGGGAGACAACUGGUUAUGACAUUGACAUGAUUCUUAGCAUCGUCGAGGAGUAUGUGAGGCAAGAUAACAAAAAUACUCAGAAACAUAAUGCUGAGGUGAACGGUCACGUGCAAGCACCUAGUACAUCUAUGAUCACGGUAGCAAAAGUCAUUGAUGGUUAUCUCACCGAGGUUGCAAAGGACCCCAAUACCCCUGUUUUGAAGUUCAUCAAUCUUGCUGAGGCAAUUUCAGGCAAUUCAAGGCCUUUCCAUGAUGGGCUAUACCGCGCCAUUGACAUGUAUAUGAAGGAGCACCCAAGCCUAAGCAAGAGCGACAAGAAGAAGCUGUGCUGCCUCAUGGACUGCAAGAAGUUGUCGCCAGAAGCAUGCGCCCACGCCGUCCAGAACGAGCGCCUCCCUCUGAGAACCGUGGUUCAGGUGCUAUACCACGAGCAGACAAGGGCAUCCGCGGCGGCGACGGUCCGAGCUGACAGCAUCUGCAUCGGCUCCUACGAGAGCUCAAGGUCAGGCGCCACAACAAACACUGAAGACGAGUGGGAUGGAGUCAUAGGGGUGGAGGACCUCAGCCUUUCAUCAAAGACCACGAAGCUGGAGAAAUGCCACAACGCUGAGAAGAGCCACGGCAGCAGCAAGAGCACCGCCAACGGCAAGGCGAAGGGCGGCGCGACGCCGAAGAAGGUGCUGGGGAAGAUGCUGUCGAGCAAGGCGCUGACCGGGGAGCGAAGCAGCUCGGACUCGUCGGACAGCGCCAUCUUGCGGAGCCAGGACCAUCCCAAGAGGACCCCCUCCAGGAGCACCAAGCCGUCGGCUGCUGCCUAG
rnacentral:rRNA from 1 species